UAAACUGUAGCUCAGUUGACAGAGCGUUUGCCUAGCAUGCAGGAAGCCCUGGGUUCAAUCUCAAGCACUGUAU
rnacentral:tRNA from 1 species